GGUGAACGCUGGCGGCAGGCCUAACACAUGCAAGUCGAACGGUAACAGGAAACAGCUUGCUGUUUCGCUGACGAGUGGCGGACGGGUGAGUAAUGUCUGGGAAACUGCCUGAUGGAGGGGGAUAACUACUGGAAACGGUAGCUAAUACCGCAUAACGUCGCAAGACCAAAGAGGGGGACCUUCGGGCCUCUUGCCAUCGGAUGUGCCCAGAUGGGAUUAGCUAGUAGGUGGGGUAACGGCUCACCUAGGCGACGAUCCCUAGCUGGUCUGAGAGGAUGACCAGCCACACUGGAAAUGAGACACGGUCCAGACUCCUACGGGAGGCAGCAGUGGGGAAUAUUGCACAAUGGGCGCAAGCCUGGUGCAGCCAUGCCGCGUGUAUGAAGAAGGCCUUCGGGUUGUAAAGUACUUUCAGCGGGGAGGAAGGGAGUAAAGUUAAUACCUUUGCUCAUUGACGUUACCCGCAGAAGAAGCACCGGCUAACUCCGUGCCAGCCGCCGCCGUAA
rnacentral:rRNA from 1 species